rnacentral:misc_RNA from 1 species
AAGUCGUAACAAGGUUUCCGUAGGUGAACCUGCGGAAGGAUCAUUAAAUAUCGGCAGUUUACUGUCGUUUGAGGGGAGUGGAAAUUGUUCGGGCUUGCCUGUUCAGGAGUACACUUCUUUUCUUAACCCUUGCCUUUUUGCGCACUUGUGUUUCCUCGGCAGGCUUGCCUGCCGGUUGGACAAACCAAUAACCUUUUUAAUUUUCAAUCAGCGUCUGAAUUAUUUUAAUAAUUACAA